rnacentral:rRNA from 1 species
GUGCAGCAGGCGCGAAACCUCCGCAAUACACGAAAGUGUGACGGGGCCAUCCCGAGUGCCGUCCGCUGAGGACGGCUUUUCCCCAGUGUACACAGCUGGGGGAAUAAGGAGAGGGCAAGCCUGGUGUCAGCCGCCGCGGUAAUACCAGCUCUCCGAGUGGUGGGGACGCUUAUUGGGCCUAAAGCAUCCGUAGCCGGCUGGGCAAGUCCUCCGUUAAAUCCAACGAUUCAAUCGUUGGGCUGCGGGGGAUACUGUCCAGCUUGGGGGCGGGAGAGGCCGACGGUAUUCCCGGGGUAGGGGUGAAAUCCUAUAAUCCCGGGAGGACCACCAGUGGCGAAGGCUGUCGGCUAGAACGCGCCCGACGGUGAGGGAUGAAAGCUGGGGGAGCGAACCGGAUUAGAUACCCGGGUAGU